rnacentral:rRNA from 1 species
UAAUACGUAGGGGGCAAGCGUUGUCCGGAAUCAUUGGGCGUAAAGAGCUCGUAGGCGGUUCAGUAAGUCGGGUGUGAAAGCUCCGAGCUCAACUCGGAGAGGCCACUCGAUACUGCUGUGACUAGAAUCCAGUAGGGGAGUGUGGAACUCCUGGUGUAGCGGUGAAAUGCGCAGAUAUCAGGAAGAACACCAGCGGCGAAGGCGGCACUCUGGGCUGGUAUUGACGCUGAGGAGCGAAAGUGUGGGUAGCAAACAGG